ACCCUACGGGGGGCAGCAGUGGGGGAUAUUGCACAAUGGGGGAAACCCUGAUGCAGCAACGCCGCGUGAGUGAAGAAGUAUUUCGGUAUGUAAAGCUCUAUCAGCAGGGAAGAGAAUGACGGUACCUGACUAAGAAGCCCCGGCUAACUACGUGCCAGCAGCCGCGGUAAUACGUAUGGUGCAAGCGUUAUCCGGAUUUACUGGGUGUAAAGGGAGCGCAGGCGGCGCGUUAAGCCUGGUGUGAAAGCCCGCGGCCCAACCGCGGGACUGCAUUGGGAACUGGCGCGCUGGAGUGCCGGAGGGGG
rnacentral:rRNA from 1 species